rnacentral:lncRNA from 1 species
GCAUGACUAAGGAUCUUGCUCAGAUCCAGUUGUUCUCUGUCGAUUCAUUUGCUAGCUCUUUUCCAUAUGCUACACUAUGGGGUUCCAGAUUAAAGUCCUGAACUUACUGCUUCCUAGAUUGUGAUUUUGAGCAAGAUAACUACUUUUUUACACCUUUUUUUUCUUCUAACAUGGAGGUCAAUAUAAAGCACAACUGUGUGACAUUAUCGUGAAGGAUAAAUAAGGCAGAACUGAGAGGUGCUCCAUGCUGCUGCCUCACUGGAUCAUCUGGCAGGUACUGCUGAGGCCUACUCAGUGAGUGACCACACUCAAUGAGCCAUCAUGAUGGAGGCUUCUCCGAGAGCACUCUCUCAAUCAAGAGUUCCCAUCUCAGGAUCUGCUCCUACAAGACCCAACUUAGGAUAGUAAUGAUGUUUAUCACUUAUUUAGUGAAUAUGUGUCAAGUGCCAGACAUGCCUACAUUCAACAUGCAGUGGCAAACAAGACAAACAUUUUACAAGACAAACAUUUUACCCAGUUUCACAGGGCUCAGAGGCUUGUGGUCUCACUAGUGUUAUUUACUAGGUAUUUUAUUAAUCAAAAAUGAUAGUAGUUUGUAAAAAUACCUUUGUUAAUGUCAUAAUUAUUCUGACAUUAGCUUCUGAAUUUAUGGUAAUCUGAUCAUAGAAUAUGUCAUAUAAGAUCUGCUUUAGGAAAAAUGUAUUAGGAGCUUAAAACAUUUCAUACGUAUUCUAGAAAUAUUCAGAGAGAAAGUAUAUUACCUGACUCCUCAACCUGGUUUUUACCAUACUUUUCUAGUCUUGUUCCAUAUAUUAUGGGAUCCUUGGGGUGUUGCUUCACCAGCCAGGAGCCACUGUGGACAGUGGUGCCUUUGCCUGAGUUUUCUUCAGGCCCACUGGGCCCACUCAACCUGGUGGACUGUGCUUGGUUUGCGCUACUGGCCUGGAUCCCAUGCCUGCCAAGGGUGAGUGGAGUGCUGAGGGGUAUGUGAGCAAGCAUGGGGUCCAGCCACUGCACACAGCCAGGUUCCUUGAGGGCUAUGGUGGGGUGGGCAGCUCCAGGCACUGGCAUGGGCUCUGGCUCCCUGCAAGGCUGUGGCUGGACCAGGCGUAACGCUAGCAGCUUCCAUGGCUGGCACCGGAGAAACACAUUGUCACCCAGAAGCUUGGAGAUGCCAGGAACGAAAGAAUUCCAAAGAGGGUGUCACAGCCCUGGCUUGGAGAACUCCUAGGUCUGGGCUUCCUGAAGGGCUGCAGCUCUUCUCUCCUUCUUGUCCCCAGUAAUGUGGCAAGCAAGGGGUGUGUUUCAACUCUGUUGACUUCCAGGGCCACCGACAGUGCAGAGGUGGCCAGAUCCGCAGCCACAGCUUGGACGGCUGCUGCUGCACCCAGGAGGGCAGGUCUCUUGCCUGCUGUCUACCCGCAAGAGCAGAGGGAUGCCUGGGUCUGCAGGGGCAACUAGGUGCCUGCAACUGCGCCCAGGGAUCGAGAGGCUCCAUCCUGCCAGCUCGGAAGGGGGUAGGGCUUCCUCCUGUUCCUGGCUCCCACCAGCUGGGUACACAUGAAGCCCAAGCUGCACCUCCCCUACUGCUGCUGGCAUCAUGGCAGCAGCCGCGUCUGGGGCCACCACUGCCAUCACAUAGAUGCCAUAUUGCUACUCAUUGAAAUUACUAAAGAGGUGUCUUUUAAAAUACUGUUUGGCUGGUUUCUUCAUUAAAUUAUUUCUUCAAUCAUUUUCUUCCUGUUUUUUCAUAAUUUAAUAGUUUUCUUUACUUAUUUUGUUCAGUAUUUAAUCAUAGUCCCUGUGUUCUUUGGUUCUCCUCUCUAUGGAUUCUACCUAAGAAUUUGCCAACAAUCACGGUAUGUCAGUUUCCUUGUUCUUUGCACAUUCUUCUUGGGUACUGUUGAAAACUUUAGUACAUAACCAAUAAGGCAGGUUGGGAUAAGUGAUUUCAGGCUAAUUCUUGGUGCAUAAGUGGUACCUCUUUGGUGUAUUUCUGCUUUAAGAGAUGGUCUUAUUUUAUCCUCUGCCUUUCUUCUUAUAUUUCCAACUUUAAUAAGUACAAUUUCUAGUAUCCAGGGGUACCUCAUGGUCCUUUCAUUUUUUAACUCAUUUUGUUCUCAAGGACUUUACCCUUCCACCAGCAUUUUAAUCUACAUGUCCUCUUCACAGAGCAGGUCCAUUGUUAUCUGUCAGCCACAAUGUCUGCAUGGAUGUGGAGCUGUAGAAGUGUACAUUAGAAGUAUUCUGAUCACACGAAAAGAAGUCCCCCCAAAUAGAUAGAGAGACUGGUUUUGCCUAAUAUCAUUUUAGUAGCCAGGUACCUAAUUUCUUUUUUUCUUUGUCUUUAUAGAAAUUUGAAAAGAAAAUUGGGGGGAGGGCAGAAUCAAACAAUACUAGCAAGAAACUUUUUAAAAUUAUAACCAAUCAAUUGCAUUUUGAUAUUUUUCAAUGUAGUGUUAACUUUAGCUACAUUUUCCCAAAGGAUAAAGACAAAUUCACACUCUCUACAUGCCCUGAGAACAUUCCUUAGGGAUAUGGUCAGCAACAUUCCCACCCUCCUCAUGCCCCAGUGAGAAUCUGUUCAACAUUUCUUCUCCAGUCUUCUAUUAUAUAGAUAUAUUUUGGAGAUUGGAGGGGUCCAACGGUACAAAACUCUAUACAAAAGCAUGCUAAACACUGUUCUAAACAUUAGAAUGAUAUAAGAAACCAUACAAUAUAGAGAUACAUGUAUCAUUAUAAAGUAUCUAGGUGAGAACACUCAAAUGAGAAGAUUUGCC